AUGGCUCAGGAUGAACGCUGGCGGCGUGCUUAACACAUGCAAGUCGAACGGAGUUUUAAACAGGAGUUUCGGAUGGAAGUUUAAAACUAGUGGCGGACGGGUGAGUAACGCGUGGGUAACCUGCCUCAUACAGGGGGAUAACAGUUAGAAAUGACUGCUAAGACCGCAUAAUAUAGCGAAACCGCAUGAUUUUGCUAUCAAAUAUUUAUAGGUAUGAGAUGGGCCCGCGUCUGAUUAGCUAGUUGGUGGGGUAAAAGCCUACCAAGGCGACGAUCAGUAGCCGGCUUGAGAGAGUGACCGGCCACAUUGGGACUGAGACACGGCCCAAACUCCUACGGGAGGCAGCAGUGGGGAAUAUUGGACAAUGGGGGAAACCCUGAUCCAGCCGACGCCGCGUGAGUGAAGAAGUAUUUCGGUAUGUAAAGCUCUAUCAGCAGGGAAGAUAAUGACAGUACCUGACUAAGAAGCCCCGGCUAACUACGUGCCAGCCGCGGC
rnacentral:rRNA from 1 species